GAAAUGCUAGCGCCCUCGGGUCCGAAUUGUAAUUUGUAGAGGAUGCUUUUGGUGCGGUGCCUUCUGAGUUCCUUGGAACAGGACGCCUUAGAGGGUGAGAGCCCCGUACAGUUGGACACCAAGCCUUUGUAAAGCUCCUUCGACGAGUCGAGUAGUUUGGGAAUGCUGCUCUAAAUGGGAGGUAAAUUUCUUCUAAAGCUAAAUAUUGGCCAGAGACCGAUAGCGCACAAGUAGAGUGAUCGAAAGAUGAAAAGUACUUUGAAAAGAGGGUUAAAUAGCACGUGAAAUUGUUGAAAGGGAAGCGUUUAUGACCAGACCUUCGUCGGGCGGAUCAUCCGGUGUUCUUCACCGGUGCACUUCGCCCGGCUUAGGCCAGCAUCGGUUUUCGUAGGGGGAUAAAGGCCUAGGGAAUGUGGCUCCCUCCGGGGAGUGUUAUAGCCCUGGGCGUAAUACCUUUAUGGGGACCGAGGUUCGCGCUCCGGCAAGGAUGCUGGCGUAAUGGUCAUCAACGACCCGUCUUGAAACACGGACCAAGGAGUCGAACAUUUAUGCGAGUGUUUGGGUGUUAAACCCUUGCGCGUAAUGAAAGUGAACGUAGGUGAGAGCCCGUACGGGUGCAUCAUCGACCGAUCUUGAUGUUUUCGGAUGGAUUUGAGUAAGAGCAUAACUGUUCGGACCCGAAAGAUGGUGAACUAUGCGUGGAUAGGGUGAAGCCAGAGGAAACUCUGGUGGAGGCUCGCAGCGGUUCUGACGUGCAAAUCGAUCGUCAAAUCUGCACA
rnacentral:rRNA from 1 species